rnacentral:rRNA from 1 species
UACGUAGGUGGCAAGCGUUAUCCGGAAUUAUUGGGCGUAAAGAGCGCGCAGGUGGUUGAUUAAGUCUGAUGUGAAAGCCCACGGCUUAACCGUGGAGGGUCAUUGGAAACUGGUCAACUUGAGUGCAGAAGAGGGAAGUGGAAUUCCAUGUGUAGCGGUGAAAUGCGUAGAGAUAUGGAGGAACACCAGUGGCGAAGGCGGCUUCCUGGUCUGUAACUGACACUGAGGCGCGAAAGCGUGGGGAGCA